GCGAAGCUUGUCAAAUUCCGGUUAAUUCAGAGGUGGUACCAUCAGGAGAAAAGGGCUGGAAUCGGUCUGAAAAUAGGGCCGAAAUACAGUUACGAAUUUUCACCCAAGAAUCCUAUUCAGUUUCGAAAACCUGUUGCUAAUCGGUUUAGGAUGACACCUAAACCCUAUUCAGAGAAGGAGAUGAUGAUAAAAGGAGCCAACAAGAAGGCUCUUGGAGAUGUCCUGAUACUCUUAAAGUUGGAAGGAGUUGAGGCUAAUUUGGCCUAAACAAGAUGAAAUUCGGAUUUGUGGGAGAGUCUGCGCACCAAUCACGAUUUUGGCUAUAACUUGAGUUCCAGGAGUCAGAAUUGAGUGAUUUUACUGCUCACGCGAAGAUAGCAAAAUUCUCUACAAUCCAGGAGUGAUUUGGUAUUCUACUUUCUGGUCGAAAGACACAUAAAAGGGUCUGAACAGUCACGGUUUAUAAGAAAAAGAGCUGCAUCUCAAUCCCUUAAGGCGCGCCUCCACCUGACAGGGCGCGCCUCUAUCGUCAAAUUACCGGGAGCUCAAAGGAGGACCAUCUUCAAUAAAAUUUCAGGGAUAACCUAAGCUGCGAGCAGGGUUUUUUGGAAUGGGGAGUCAGCGAAGGAUGCAAUUUUCAGAGACCCGACACGUUCGAAUGGCGCGCCUCCCCCUGACAGGGCGCGCCUCCAGGUAAAACUCCAUUCUAAACCUCCUCAUUAUUUCAUUCUCUAGAAAAGUAUGGCGUAUAUCUAAUUACAGGUGAUGUGGUGUCCGACUACCACCAUAAAAAAUGCACCCCUUUACACCUUUGAAGAAAGCGCGCCUCCCCUUGACAGGGCGCGCCUCUAGGUAAGUUUUUUGCAUCACCUUCACAUACUAUUACCAGCUAGUUUGUCGUGGUUUAAUCCGUUAUAGGAAGGAGUUCGCAUCCUUGGACUCAAAGGAUUUCUGAAGUGGCGCGCCCUCCCCUGAGCGAAUGCUUCAAGGUUUACGAGAGGCGUAUCUUGUGGGCCUAACCACAUGUGACGAUAUGAAAGGGAAAGUUACGAGCGGGGAGUUAUUCAAAUAGAACCUAGCUUGAAAAGUUAUAAAGGGUGCGCGCCUUCCCCUGACCGGGCACGCCUUCAGGUAAAUACUAAACCCCUUCAGUAUUUGGUUCUCUAGGACUAUUGCAUGUAUAAAGCUGCAAGUAUUGUGGUGUUCGACUACCUCGAUGAGGAAUGCGCCUCUUCGCCGUGCCGAAUAGUCGCGCCCUUCUCUCAUAGGGCGCGCCCUCAGGUCAAGUCCAACAUUCUAGAGGAGCUGUCUUUCUUGAUUAGGACGCGCCCUCCGUUCUACAGGAACGUAGCAUGAUACCUGCAAGGUCUUUGAUCAAGGUACACUUAAGGCCUUUCAAAGGUUACCUAAUUAUCCAUGACCAACUCUGGGUACUAUGAAUUUUAACCAUCCAUGAUACGCUCUGGAUGUCAUCCACGAUCUACUCUGGAUGCUAUGAUUAUUUACCUAUCCAUGAUACGCUCUGGAUAUUAUACUUGCGCAUCCAUGAUACGCUCUGGACAUUAUACUUGCGCAUCCAUGAUACGCUCUGGAUCUUACAUAUCCAUGAUUUUGCUCUGGAUAACACUUUAUACUAUUGAUUCCCCAUUGAGCUAUGAGCUCUGGGACCCGUGCGAUGCACCGGAGCUUUUUAAACCACGAUAAGAUUCGUGAUGCCCCAUAUGGGAUGAUGUAUGGACUGGGGAGUGGUCCUUUUGAAUUUCUUAAGCAAGUGAUUCACGCGUGAAAAAGUA
rnacentral:lncRNA from 1 species